rnacentral:rRNA from 1 species
UACGUAGGGGGCUAGCGUUGUCCGGAAUCAUUGGGCGUAAAGAGCGUGUAGGCGGCCCGGUAAGUCCGCUGUAAAAGUCAAAGGCUCAACCUUUGAAUGUCAGUGGAUACUGCCGGGCUAGAGUCCGGAAGAGGCGAGUGGAACUCCUGGUGUAGCGGUGGAAUGCGCAGAUAUCCGGAGGAACACCGGUGGCGAAGGCGGCUUCCUGGACCGACACUGACGCUGAGGCGCGAAAGCUAGGGGAGCAAACGGG